UACGGAGGGUGCGAGCGUUGUCCGGAAUCAUUGGGCGUAAAGGGCGCGUAGGUGGCGCGGCAAGCGUGCGGUGAAAGCUCGGGGCUCAACCCCGAGUCGGCCGUGCGAACUGCUGUGCUUGAGCACUGUAGAGGCAGGCGGAAUUCCGGGUGUAGCGGUGGAAUGCGUAGAGAUCCGGAAGAACACCGGUGGCGAAGGCGGCCUGCUGGGCAGUGGCUGGACACUGAGGCGC
rnacentral:rRNA from 1 species